UGCCAUUUGACCUUGUAUCUUCAGCUUGGU
rnacentral:piRNA from 1 species